rnacentral:rRNA from 1 species
UACGUAGGUGGCAAGCGUUGUCCGGAAUCAUUGGGCGUAAAGCGCGCGUAGGCGGCCCUGUAAGUCCGUUGUGAAAGUCAAAGGCUCAACCUUUGAAAGCCGAUGGAUACUGCAGGGCUAGAGUCCGGAAGAGGCGAGUGGAAUUCCUGGUGUAGCGGUGGAAUGCGCAGAUAUCAGGAGGAACACCAAUAGCGAAGGCAGCUCGCUGGGACGGUACUGACGCUAAGGCGCGAAAGCGUGGGGAGCGAACAGG